AGGUUCUGGUAGCUGUGAUACGGCAUAGAGUUAGACUGUUACAUGGGGAAAACAAAUUAGUGCCAUUCCUUUUUAGUAGCUACCUCCCUCCCUCCCUACUGGAAGCAGUAAGAUUCACUGUACAAAAUGAUGAAACAUGAGGUUUUCUUUAAUAGGUGUCCUGAUGGCAGUGGAGAAUCACUUAAUCGGGUUAGGGAUUGGAAGUUCAGAAAUAGGUGACCUGGAGCUGUUUGGGUGGGGUUGCUGUUUAGUACUGGCAGUUGCGGGUUAUUGUAACAAGUGUCCUGGUAGCUGUAGUGACACUGUAGGUGCUGAGAGUACUUUCACAUUAAUUAGCUCCGGGAGAACCUGAAGGAUGG